ACAUUGAAAAGCAGAGGCUCUGAUCCAGCUUUGCUGCCUGGAAAGGGAAUGUCUGUGGUAGGAAACAAUGCUCUGGGUCUCGUGCACAAGAAUUCCACUCCCAACUCUGCAAAGAUUAGACUUUAUAUUUAGUCUGCCAUUACUCUCUGACCUCAGUGAAAAGGAUGAAGGUGACCAGGUAUUCUCAUUCUUCAAACAAAGCAUGGCCACAGUUUUGAAUGGGCUGCUGCAUCCUCUGCCAGGGUGUGAUGCCACAUCUGGAUUCUACUUGCUGCCCUGGUGAUUGGCAGAGCCUCACUGUUUCUUCUGGAAUGAACAGCCAUUGCUGAUUCGAUCACAUCCAAGAACAAUCCAGGGAACAGAAUCCAUUUGAGAUAAAGAAGACACCUUUCAUAUCAGUAACUGGAAGACAGUCAAGGAAACCUCUCUGAGAUCCUGAAUGGAACCCCACAUACAGCUUCCUGUUCCACUGGAAUCAGAGGCAGUUGGGGGAAAGUCUCAAAUCAUCAC
ensembl:antisense Gm15133 predicted gene 15133